AGUUAAUAAUGUAACGACAUUAGCAUUAGUAACAGAAUCCCCUCAUAUAAAAACUUAUUUGCAAAAAGGUAUGGUAUGUAAUUGAUGUUUCCAGUACUGCGGCAAUUUGGCAAGAAUCAUCAUGAAGCUGUUGUCAGCAUCAAUCAGAAUGAAAAUGUAUGUUUUACUGAGUUUUUGCUUUCUGGAUAAGACCAUUGGAAAAUCUUUUCUUAUAGAAACUUCUCAGAAUAAGGUGCAUGGUAGUGACUAUCAGUUCAAUGCCCUGUUUCCAGGCGUGGAAGCUGAUUUACAACGUCAAGUAGAUCAAGCUGCAAGAACAGCAGCAGAUGAGUUGGCACGCAACCUUGAAUCCCAAGUUAGCAACCUUGAAUCCCAAGCUAGAUAUCAAAAUUAUUACAAUGGAUACUAUUACUGACCCUAGCAUGUUUGUCACUAUGCUUUUAGAAUCUGACAUCUUAAUGAUAAAUAUAAUAGCAAUUUGAAGAAUAAGA